UACGUAGGGGGGCGAGCGUUGUCCGAAGUUACUGGGCGUAAAGCGCGCGUAGGCGGUUAUUUAAGUUCGGGGGUGAAAAGGUUCAGCGCUCAACGCGAACAGUGCCUUGAAUACUGGAUGACUUUGAGUUCGGGGAGAGGGCAGUGGAAUUCCUGGUGUAGCGGUGAAAUGCGUAGAUAUCAGGAGGAACACCGAUGGCGAAGGCAGCUGCCUGGCCUAGAACUGACGCUGAGGUGCG
rnacentral:rRNA from 1 species